ACUCAAAGGAAUUGACGGGGGCCCGCACAAGCGGUGGAGCAUGUGGUUUAAUUCGAUGCAACGCGAAGAACCUUACCGGGUCUUGACAUCCAACGAAUCUGGUGGAAACAUCGGAGUGCUCUUCGGAGAACGUUGAGACAGGUGGUGCAUGGUUGUCGUCAGCUCGUGUCGUGAGAUGUUGGGUUAAGUCCCGCAACGAGCGCAACCCCUGCUGUUAGUUGCUAACAGGUUAAGCUGAGCACUCUAGCAGGACUGCCGGUGACAAACCGGAGGAAGGUGGGGAUGACGUCAAAUCAUCAUGCCCUUUAUGAUCCGGGCUACACACGUGCUACAAUGGUCGGUACAGAGAGCAGCGAGACCGCGAGGUUUAGCAAAUCUCACAAAGCCGAUCACAGUUCGGAUUGCAGGCUGCAACUCGCCUGCAUGAAGUCGGAAUCGCUAGUAAUCGCGAAUCAGAAUGUCGCGGUGAAUUCGUUCCCGGGCCUUGCACACACCGCCCGU
rnacentral:rRNA from 1 species